UGAGUACGAGAUGCUACGGCAUCGAAGCAGUCUAUGUCAUACUUGCAAGAAAAGCUUGCACUGUCAUAAACAAAGAAUGCCUGUACCAUAACCGACACAGGUGGGUAGGUAGAGUAUACUAAGGGGCGCGAGAUAACUCUCUCUAAGGAACUCGGCAAAAUGUCUCCGUAACUUCGGGAGAAGGAGUGCCUUAUUUCUAAGGUUGCAAUAACAAGAUCCAAGCAACUGUUUACCAAAAACACAGGUCUCCGCUAAGUCGUAAGACGAUGUAUGGGGGCUGACGCCUGCCCAGUGCCAGAAGGUUAAAGAAGUUGGUUAGCAUUAGCGAAGCUGAUAACUGAAGCCCUGGUGAACGGCGGCCGUAACAAUAACGGUCCUAAGGUAGCGAAAUUCCUUGUCGGGUAAGUUCCGACCCGCACGAAAGGCGUAAUGAUUUGGAUACUGUCUCGGAGAGGGGCUCGGUGAAAUAGACUUGUCUGUGAAGAUGCGGACUACCUGCACCUGGACAGAAAGACCCUAUGAAGCUUUACUGUAACUUGAGAUUGAAAUUGGACUUUAUUUGCGCAGUAUAGGUGGGAGGCGUUGAGAAUAAUCUUGCGGGAUUGUUGGAGCCAUCAGUGAGAUACCACUCUUGUAAUGUUAGAUUUCUAACUUUGUAUCAUUAUCUGGUCAAAGAACAGUUUCAGGCGGGCAGUUUGACUGGGGCGGUCGCCUCCCAAAGGGUAACGGAGGCGCACAAAGGUUUCCUCUGAACGGGUAGAAGUCGUAUCUAGAGUGUAAAGGCAUAAGGAAGCUUGACUGUGAGACCUACAAGUCGAGCAGGGACGAAAGUCGGUCUUAGUGAUCUGACGGUGCUGAGUGGAAAGGCCGUCACUCAACGGAUAAAAGUUACUCUAGGAUAACAGGCUGAUCUCCCCCAAGAGUUCACAUCGACGGGGAGGUUUGGCACCUCGAUGUCGGCUCAUCGCAUCCUGGGGCGGUAGUCCGUCCCAAGGGUUGGGCUGUUCGCCCAUGAAAGCGGUACGCGAGCUGGGUUCAGAACGUCGUGAGACAGUUCGGUCCAUAUCCGGUGUAGGCGUUAGAAUAUUGAGAGGAGCCUUCUCUAGUACGAGAGGACCGAGAAGGACAUACCUCUGGUGUACCAGUUAUCGUGCCAACGGUAAACGCUGGGUAGCUAUGUAUGGAGUGGAUAACCGCUGAAAGCAUCUAAGUGGGAAGCCCACCUCAAGAUAAGUAUUC
rnacentral:rRNA from 1 species